rnacentral:rRNA from 1 species
UACGUAGGGGCAAGCGUUGUCCGGAUUUAUUGGGCGUAAAGGGCUCGUAGGCGGCCAACUAAGUCAGACGUGAAAUCCCUCAGCUUAACUGGGGAACUGCGUCUGAUACUGGAUGGCUUGGAUUCGGGAGAGGAAUGCGGAAUUCCAGGUGUAGCGGUGAAAUGCGUAGAUAUCUGGAGGAACACCGGUGGCGAAGGCGGCACUCUGGGCUGGUACUGACGCUGAGGAGCGAAAGCAUGGGGAGCGAACGAGGA